rnacentral:rRNA from 1 species
GAGUUUGAUCCUGGCUCAGAUUGAACGCUGGCGGCAUGCCUUACACAUGCAAGUCGAACGGUAACAGGUCUUCGGAUGCUGACGAGUGGCGAACGGGUGAGUAAUACGUCGGAACGUGCCCGAUCGUGGGGGAUAACGAAGCGAAAGCUUUGCUAAUACCGCAUACGAUCUACGGAUGAAAGCAGGGGACCGCAAGGCCUUGCGCGAACGGAGCGGCCGAUGGCAGAUUAGGUAGUUGGUGGGAUAAAAGCUUACCAAGCCGACGAUCUGUAGCUGGUCUGAGAGGACGACCAGCCACACUGGGACUGAGGCACGGCCCAGACUCCUACGGGAGGCAGCAGUGGGGAAUUUUGGACAAUGGGCGAAAGCCUGAUCCAGCCAUGCCGCGUGCAGGAUGAAGGCCUU